rnacentral:rRNA from 1 species
CUUCUUGUAUUUAUUUGAAGUCGUGCCUGCCCACUGAAUUUAUUGAAGGGCCGCGGUAUUUUGACCGUGCAAAGGUAGCAUAAUCAUUAGUCUUUUAAUUGAAGGCUGGGAUGAAUGGUUUGACGUAAUAACAACUGUCUUUAUAAUAUGUUUUGAAUUUUACUUUUAAGUUAAAAGGCUUAAAUUAUGGAGGGGGACGAGAAGACCCUAUAGAUCUUUAUUUAAAAGUAAUGGAUUUAUAUUUGGUUGUAUUUAUGAUUUGUUUUUUUGGAAUUUUGUUGGGGUGAUGUGAGAAUAAAUGAACUUCUUAUUUAGUGAACUUUGAUGAUUGGAUAAGUGAUCCUGUAUUAUGGAUUUAAGAUUAAGAUACCUUAGGGAUAACAGCGUAAUUUUAUUUGAGAGUUCUUAUCGACAAUAAAGAUUGCGACCUCGAUGUUGGAUUAAGAUAAUAAUUUGGUGUAGAAGCUGAAUUGGUUAGUCUGUUC